AGCCCAGCACCGAAUCCUGUAUCGUCUUGAUACUAGGAAAUGUGGUGUUUAGGCCGUGCUUUGUGCCGGCAUGAUUCUCCUCAAGUCCACUUGAUUGUGGCUUCAGGCCCAGAGAGGGUGUAAGGCCCGUGGAGGCGAGUCGUCCGGUGCCCGGCACGUCCUUAGAGUCGGGUUGUUUGGGAAUGCAGCCCAAAGCGGGUGGUAAACUCCAUCCAAGGCUAAAUACUAGCACGAGUCCGAUAGCGAAGAAGUACCGCGAGGGAAAGUUGAAAAGAACUUUGAAGAGAGAGUUCAAGAGUACGUGAAACCGCUGAGAGGCAAACUGGUGGAGCUGAAAUGGUCUUGAGGAAUUCAGCCCUUCCUACUAGAGUUGGCGUCGGUUGUCUGAGAUCUCACGACUCCGCUGGCGUUCAUCUUCGUGAAGGAUAGGUGCACUUUCUUCUUGACCGGACCACGACCGGCGAUUUGUCUUGUCUGACGUAAGAUGGAAGGUAGCGUUUACUUCGGUAAACGUAUUAUAGCCGCUUAUUCGGAUGAGCAAGGCGUUGGAAGCAUUUUUAGACGCUUGCCCUUUCGGGCUCGUACGUUGNCACUUUCAGGCGUGUCGCCGGCUUCACUGCCUUUGGCAGGGGUGUUGGAGACGUGUCGGUUAGGGGCGGCCUCUGCGAUUGGCGUCGACAGUCUGUGGUUAUGAAGUAGGCAGUCCACCUGACCCGUCUUGAAACACGGACCAAGGAGUCUAACAUGUGCGCGAGUCAUUGGGCUCUACGAAACCUAAAGGCGCAGUGAAAGUGAAGAUCCAUUUUGUUGGAUUGAGGUGGGAUCCUGAGUCACGUGCUCGGGCGCACUACCGGCCCGUUCGACAUGUUUUCAUGCGGGCGGAGCAAGAGCGUACACGUUGGGACCCGAAAGAUGGUGAACUAUGCUUGCGCAGGUCGAAGCCAGA
rnacentral:rRNA from 1 species